rnacentral:rRNA from 1 species
AGUCGUGGGGUAGAGCACCUUCGGGUGCUUGAGACCGGCGGACGGGUGAGUACACGUAGGUAAUUUACUGAGGGUUGGGGAUAGCCCAUGGAAACAUGGGGUAAUACCGAAAAUACGUCUUAUCUUACAUAAGUGAGAUAAGGGAAAGGUGCUUAGGCACCGGCCCCGGAUAAGCCUGCGGCUCAUUAGUUAGUUGGUGGGGUAACGGCCUACCAAGGCAACGAUGAGUAGCCCGGCCUGAAAAGGUGAACGGGCACACUGGGACUGAGACACGGCCCAGACUCCUACGGGAGGCAGCAGCUAAGAAUCUUCCGCAAUGGACGAAAGUCUGACGGAGCGACGCCGCGUGUGUGAUGAAGGCGGAAACGUUGUAAAGCACUUUUCCUGGGGAAGAAUAAGGUGAGGAGGUAAUGCCUCAUCGAUGACACGAACUAGGGAAUAAGCCCCGGCUAAUUACGUGCCAGCAGCCGCGGUAACACGUAAGGGGCAAGCGUUGUUCGGAAUUAUUGGGCGUACAGGGCGUGUAGGCGGCCUGGUAAGUCUGGUGUGAAAGACCGCAGCUUAACUGCGGGACCGCGCUGGAAACUAUCAGGCUAGAGUCUAAGAGGGGGAACUAGAAUUCCAGGUGUAGGGGUGAAAUCUGUCGAUAUCUGGAAGAAUACCGGAGGCGAAGGCGAGUUCCUGGCUAUAGACUGACGCUGAGGCGCGACAGCGUGGGGAGCGA